rnacentral:rRNA from 1 species
AGUGAACGCUGGCGGUAGGCCUAACACAUGCAAGUCGAACGGCCGCACAGUAAGAGCUUGCUCUUACGGGUGGCGAGUGGCGGACGGGUGAGGAAUACAUCGGAAUCUACUUUUUCGUGGGGGAUAACGUAGGGAAACUUACGCUAAUACCGCAUACGACCUACGGGUGAAAGCAGGGGAUCUUCGGACCUUGCGCGUUUGUAUGAGCCGAUGUCGGAUUAGCUAGUUGGCGGGGUAAAGGCACACCAAGGCGACGAUCCGUAGCUGGUCUGAGAGGAUGAUCAGCCACACUGGAACUGAGACACGGUCCAGACUCCUACGGGAGGCAGCAGUGGGGAAUAUUGGACAAUGGGCGCAAGCCUGAUCCAGCCAUACCGCGUGGGUGAAGAAGGCCUUCGGGUUGUAAAGCCCUUUUGUUGGGAAAGAAAAGCAGCAGGUUAAUACCCCGCUGUUCUGACGGUACCCAAAGAAUAAGCACCGGCUAACUUCGUG